rnacentral:rRNA from 1 species
CCUACGGGGGGCUGCAGUGAGGAAUAUUGGUCAAUGGACGAGAGCCUGAACCAGCCAAGUAGCGUGAAGGAUGACUGCCCUAUGGGUUGUAAACUUCUUUUAUAUGGGAAUAAAAUGCUCUACGUGUGGGAUUUUGUAUGUACCAUAUGAAUAAGGAUCGGCUAACUCCGUGCCAGCAGCCGCGGUAAUACGGAGGAUCCGAGCGUUAUCCGGAUUUAUUGGGUUUAAAGGGAGCGUAGGUGGAUUGUUAAGUCAGAUGUGAAAGUUUGCGGCUCAACCGUAAAAUUGCAGUUGAAACUGGCAGUCUUGAGUACAGUAGAGGUAGGCGGAAUUCGUGGUGUAGCGGUGAAAUGCUUAGAGAUCACGAAGAACUCCGAUUGCGAAGGCAGCUCGCUGGACUGCAACUGACGCUGAUGCUCGAAAGUGUGGGUAUCAAACAGGAUUAGAUACCCUUGUAGUC